rnacentral:lncRNA from 1 species
GUCACGGGCCACCCGCCAGCCCCGCGCUCUACCAGGCAGAGCGCGUGUGGCCGCCGAGCACAUGGACCCACUGGUCAAGCGGGCUCGGCAAGGCCAGGAUGAAGAGAAGCUACGAACUUAGCAUUCCCAGAGCCCCCCGAGUGGAUAUCCGCGUGGAAAGGAUGUUGGCAGCCCCGGUGACCUCGGAGUCACGGCUGGAUCCACCCUCUUAGAGCCGAGUUCUGUCACCACAGACAUUGGCAGUGGCACUUGCAUGCCCCUGGCAAGCAGUCUAUCCUGAGGUGGAGGAAGUUGCCCUUGAGUUCUGGCUGGUAACCAGCACAGUAUACCCUUUAAGCGUUCCAGAAGGAUUUUGAGAUCCUUUCCUAAAUCAAAGGUGGAAUAUUUGGGGAUUUGGAAAAUUGAGCAUUUUUUUCCCCACUUGCUUGACUGUAAUGCUAACAUGCUCUCUCUGCUCCAACCUGGAGAAGCCAGUCUCUCAGAAGAACCAGUUGUGUUACUUUGCUGUGAGAUGCCUGCCCUAAGAGAGGAGCAGAAGGUCGGAACGGGUCCUCUAAUGUGAUAAUUAGAUGUGAAGCGUUGACUUAAGAGAUGCCAAGUAACUCAGCAGAUGUCACACAGACGAUAAAUAGCAAAGAUGGAAGUCUUCAUGCCGGAGGCAAUCCUAUAAGACAGCUGAGUUCUGCAGAGCUGGUAGGAGACAGACUUGCUCAGGUGAUAGAUCCAGCCAUGAUACUGACCCUAAGAGAAUGAGACGCUCUGCAGAAGACAGAAGAUUCCUGAAACUGGGAAAGGUGCCUAGAAAUCCUGAUAAGAGUGAAGAAGGGUACCUGGAGGCACAGCAGCCAUGUUGAACCUAUGAGGUGAUGAAAAACCAUGCAACUAGAAACCAGAAUGGAAGAAAAGAAGAAGCUGGAUCCUUGACUGAAUUGUCGAUGGGGGAUAGUCCAUCAUCCCAGGGCUAAGACCACCUCCAGAUUUCUUGUUUGGUGAAACAAGUCCUGAUUGUUUACAUUCCCUCGUGUUGAGCUGUCUCUUGCUUGUAGCUGAAAGCAUUUCUAAUAGAUAUUCAGAUUAUCAGCCUUAGCUCCAAGCUAGAAUACUCUAUGGGACCUUAGCUUCUCCAUGAAUUCCUUUGCUCAUCUGUGUAAUGCUCAAUAAAUGUAAAUUGAACCCUGAAUGAGGGACAAUGACACUAUUGAAGUCAUGAUUGUCAAUCUUAUUAACGGACUAACUACUUAACAAAAAGGUUGGAACACUGCCUGACGCACAGUAAGCGGCUGGGGAAAGGGUUUGCCAAAUGGAGUGACAAGAAAACAGUCAUGUUUAUAGGCUUUCUUUUACAUCUUGAUCCAUCUUCAAGCCUCUGUGGUCUUUAAGCAGAACCUUGACCCCUUCAGUACUGGGGCUCCUGGAGCAUGACACGCCCCCUAAACUCUUGUCUCAAAACACCCACUCUAGCAGUUUCUUUUUGACAAAAAAAAAGCCUUCUUAGUGAAUGCUGGCUUGUGAAAAAGAAGGGGCUGUGAUCAUCAAAUCGUGUUAGUAGAUGACCAAAAUACCCAAAGCAAUUCAUGCAAAUAGAUUCAAGUCUCUCUGGGCAAGCCUUCCUGAAGGCUCUAGAAUUUCUGAAGCUCAUUUUUGAAAGGGUCUUUCCAUAUGGUGGCCUUUUUCUUUUUUGCACCUCCUCCCUUCUUUCUCAUCAGAGCUAAAGGGAUGCUCAGACUCUCUGUCCUUUCUGUGUAGUGAGGGACCAGGCUGCUGGGCGAGUGUGAAGGAGCGAGUGUGAUUUGGGAUAUUCUUUUCUGGUAUGGCAAUGGCCAGCCUUUAGAGAGGUCAUUUGAAGUUGGCCAACAAGUAGACAUUAUUUCAAAAUAGUUCUUGAUCAUUAAAGAACCAACCAGUAUGUCUUAAAAACAAACAAACCAAUCUUUUGGAAAGUUUCUGCUGAAUGUGUGCCCUUCCGACUCACUUCUUAUCCUUUCUGUCAGAAACACCCCAGAAAAGGGGGUCUUGCCUUUGAACCACUCUGCUACUUUAAUCUUCCUGCUUCUGUCUGACCUACCUUCCUUCUUUCAGUAGCCAGGAUCCUUUCAGAGUGAGCUCCAAAAGGUGGGGAUUCUCCAGCCACGAGUGCCCUCUGAAAUUCUAUCUUACUUAGAAUAAAAUAUCUAGAUUUAUACAGUGUCCCCUUGUAUGGGUGGUGGCUUUUUUUUUUUUUCUAUCAUUUUCCUGCUUGUUCACACCACUCUCUCCCUGGCCUUCUUAUGUCACAGAUUUCCUGAGUACACUCUGGCCUCAGUCUUUCCAUGAAGUAACUCUCCUUUCUAGAACAUUCUUGCCUGCAUAACUAUCUGCUUCUGUCCUCACUGUAUUCUGAUCUGUAUUUCUAUGUCAAUUUCCAGACAGGCAUUCUCUGCCCAUCCUCUAAAGUGUGCCCCCUGUCUUCUUUGCUGUUACCUGUAUGCCCUAAGUCUAAGUCACUGACCUUAUUGUAGACUAAAUUUGUUAGCAUUUCUUUCCAGGAUGCAAGCCUAGUGAUGAAGGAGUCAUUGUUCCAUUGUCAGAAUAGCUACAGAAUCCAGCCUGUUCUGCCCUGGAUGCUUUAUUAAGUAAUGAAGCUCAAUAAAACAAUUUGACCAA